CAACACGAGCGAUAGCUUCACAUACAUAUGCGUAUAAAUAUUGGACGUAUCAAACAUUAUCAUCGAUGCUGUUGUUUUCUGUAUCGUUCGACUCUAUGCACGAUUAAAAUUAGGCCCCGAUUUGCGAAAAUCCAGCUAAAAACAAGAUGCUACGGCUCAGUGUAUCGCCACUGGACUCUGUUGAACACAAACGCCGACCAUCGGACUUUCGCUCCUACUGUCGUUUUGG